rnacentral:piRNA from 1 species
UUGUAUCUAAAUAUGGAUGAAUGUAUGUG